CAAGCAAAAGUGACAUCACCGUAUAUUAGUGAGAAAAUGAGUGGAUUGAAGACUUUUCCGUGUACUCAGUGUUAUCUUCAAGAAUUUUAACGGCCGAAUCAAUGUGUGAUACACUUGUAGGAAAGGUUUGCAACAACCCCAUGCCUACAUAGAAAGAGGGUGGGUAAAAUGGCGCUUAAAAAUGGCGCGGGGGAGUCUGGAGAUGAGUGAUAUGUAGCUCCGGAAUCCAUUCACAAUUGGAAAUAAGCAUUUAAGCACAUGUAAUCAAUAUUUCACUCUAAUUACAGCUAAUUAGAAUCGAAUAAAGUGGUUUUCGUGGCGUAGAAUCUGAUAAGACUUUUAAGUGAAGCACAUUUUUCAUGCGUCCCAGACCAUAUGGUGUCCGUGUAGUCCUUUAAAAAGGUAGCCAGAAAACAUGAUGUGUAUUAAACUUAAGCACAGAUAUGUUGAAUCGUGCAAUUUAAUUGAUGCCACAGACCUCCUAUGAAGCACAUAGGAUUCGAAUCAUCAUAUUACAAUGUAUUCUUACCAUGAGAGAAAGAGGUUUAGAUGUUUGAAAAAUAUGGUGUGGUUCUAGAACAAUGCUGAAAAAGUGACACAAAGAAGAUAAGUAAGUAGUAAACUUGUUUUCCUCAUAAUUUUGCGUCAUUAAUAUCGAAUAAAUAAUGAAGUUGUCAGUUGAAAUUGAAUUUUUGAUAUCAGUCGUCUCAGCCAUCAAGGUCACCGAACAUGCAGAAUCAAAAAACAAAAAAGAGCAGGCUGUUGAGGGCGAGAAGAAUGCCAACACGAUUGUGAAGACAUCAGAGUUUACCGAAAUACUUGGAUCGAGACAGUUCGUCGAUAAAUCGUUGUUCCUUCGAUGGUUUAUCUCAGAGGGAAAAGACCUCUACAUUACCGGUCCUCCAGGCCUCGGAAAAAGCACUCUCCUCAGUAUGGUUGUGAGUGACGGCUACUUAAAGGUCUCAGGACGGGACUCCACCUUCGACGUGCUGUUUUCCGAGCCGGUGUUUGGCGAGAAAAAUCCUGCUGUCGGUCAUGGAAAACGCGGAAAUCGACAUUACACUCGAGAGAACCGGAGUGGGUGUCAACCGGAUCUUAGACUUGAGUCGACAGAUCAGAGAGAACGCUGAAUUUUGCUGCUAGUUUGCAGGCUGACGGACUCCGGAAGGAUUACGUCUUCCAAUAUCUUCUGGAGUCCGGUUACUUCACCAUCGCGCAAGGGGUAGAACUCCUCAACACGACCCGUGUAACCCGAGGAGCGUCCGAAUAAAGAUCGUGCCCGCAAACCUCGAAACUAAACACAUCAUGUACAGGACACUCUUUGCGAGUCAGUUUCCUAUGUAUUCUUAUAGGAUUACACCUGAAAAAAUAGACGCUUUAGGGGCGGCCUGAUAAACUUAGUGAAGCGUCGCUGCGAGAAGUGAUGAAGUCAGUGCGGGAAUUUCCCCUCAAUAAUCUGCAGAAGGGACUCAUUUGAGGUUCCCUGUACAUUAUUGUGUGAAUAAGUUAAUGAGUUCGGGCAAAGUAGCCCUCGUCGAGUAUGAAAUGCUAUCGAGGAGAAUGGGAAGGUGGUCGCUUUGGCUCUUGUAAAUUGAAGGAUGAGGGCGUGGUGAUCCAAUUAGAGCGCAAUGAGACGUCCAUUGAUACGUUGGGUAGAAUGGUUCGGACAAAUAUGGUUCCGUUUUUAAGACUGGUAAAUUUGCAAAAGUUAGAAUCGAACGCAGAGUCCUCGUAGCCUCCGCUGUACGUGUGCGGCGAGCAGUGUGACAUGUGUUUCACAUUUGAUAGUAGGAGUAUUUCGAAUGCAACAUGUGCGACUUACCUGAAAAUGAGUCUUUGGAAAAACAUUUAUACCUAAGGAAGACUGAAAUAUUAUAAAUGUAUUUGUUAUUCAUCUUAUACAUCACACACUGAGCUUUCCACACAUUUAGUUUUUGAGCUUUCUAAGUUAUACACACAUGAGCACAGAAAUCAGUGAAUACUAGACGGAAGGUGGAAACCAUCCAGAUGCGACGAGCUAGUCUAACCGAUUUGAAAUGAUUUGAAAUGAUUUCAAAUGAUUCAAAUGAUUUCAAAUGAUUUCAAUGAGCGAGCGAUUGCAUCGAGAAAAAGUCGGAACUCUAUUGUUCAUUCGUUGAUGGCGACAAACCGCCUUCAAAUCUAUUGCACGCAAUUUUCAUUGCAGAGGUCGAGAGCACUGUGUUUUCACAUGGUACAUUACAUCAUGAUCAGCAUUUAGCGAAAAACAGAUAGGUGGCAUCGGUCUAAAAGGCAGGAAAAAUAGGUUUCAAGUUCAGUUCUUCAUAAUCUUUAAUGUAAAAAACAAAUACAUUUUCGCAAACUUUGAACUUUGGACAGGAGAAAAUACAGGUUAAGGCGAGUUCAAAAGUUGCUUUAACUGAUUAUGUUUUUUUUUAUGUAAUUUUAUUUAGUAUCUAAAACGUUGCUCAUUUUACGCUGGCUCCAACGCAACGAGAGCAAUGUUACAAUAGUAGCACCCACCUUCAUGUUGGUUUGCGACGUUGCAAAACUCACCUUUAAUUUUUCUUAUGUCAUUGGAAAAUUAGAACCAACGUCAUUUUUUUGACGUCUCAUUGAUUUACCUUCUCCUUCGAAUUUUUGGGAAUCAUAGGCAUUCUGUGUGAAAAAUUUGAGUAGUACACUUUGUUCAUUUUUCUUGGGGUAAGACAAAUUAAUUCAGAAUAAGAGGGGAAAUUUCAAACAUUGCAAUCAAAACAGGGUUAAAUAUAACAUAGUUUUACUUGAUUUAUGUUUGAAAUGUCAAACGAUUCAAUUGUAUUUCCACUGCCGUAGUCAUACGCAAGUUCCUGGAAGUUAUUCAUAGUAUUUAUUAAACACUCUUUGACAGUGAUGAAGUGUGACAUUAUGAUGAUGUUUUUAAAUUGAAAUGCUAUUUUAUUCCAUCCACCUCUAUCAUCCUCUUGCGUUGCGUCAUACAAAUUUAUUGCAUUCCUUAUAAUUUCUUUCCUUGCACUCAAAUAAGUAAUUAAUAUGUCCCAACCCGGCGGGUAAUUAUUGUCACACUACAGCCCUGGUAGAAAGAUGAGGUGCACGAUUAUUCGAUGACUUAAACCUCAAUAUUAAGCGAUAAUUUGCAACGUUUCAACACUUUCACAAGAUCUUAAUUUUUAAGAGGCAAACAUAUGAGCAUUGCCUUCCAAUUUUUAUGGAAUAAUUAAAAAGCUAAAAUUUACAUACAUACAUACAUACAUAAGAGUCGCUUUUACAGUGCUCUCUGGCGUUUCUUGCAACGUCUAUAACUGCCACAAAACUCGGUCCUCCCA
rnacentral:lncRNA from 1 species